rnacentral:rRNA from 1 species
AAGUCGUAACAAGGUUUCCGUAGGUGAACCUGCGGAAGGAUCAUUACAUAUUAAGCAAAGCCGGGUACAAGAGCCACCGCUUCGGCGCCACUCUUGUCAUGGUCGCGCGAAUAUUCACCCAUGUUUUUGCGUACUUCUUGUUUCCUUGGUGGGCUCGCCCGCCACAGGACAACCAUUAAACCUUUUGUAAUUGCAGUCAGCGUCAGUAAAAUGUAAUCGUUACAACUUUCAACAACGGAUCUCUUGGUUCUGGCAUCGAUGAAGAACGCAGCGAAAUGCGAUAAGUAGUGUGAAUUGCAGAAUUCAGUGAAUCAUCGAAUCUUUGAACGCACAUUGCGCCCAUUGGUAUUCCAAUGGGCAUGCCUGUUCGAGCGUCAUUUGUACCCUCAAGCUUUGCUUGGUGUUGGGCGUUUGUCUUUCGAGACUCGCCUUAAAAAGAUUGGCAGCCGGCAUACUGGUUUCGGAGCGCAGCACAAAUUGCGGUCUGUUCCUGAAUGUUGACGUCCAUGAAGCCCCCCAUUAUCACUUUUGACCUCGGAUCAGGUAGGGAUACCCGCUGAACUUAAGCAUAUCAAUAAGCGGAGGAAAAGAAACCAACAGGGAUUGCCUCAGUAACGGCGAGUGAAGCGGCAUCAGCUCAAAUUUGAAAUCUGGCUCUUUUAGAGUCCGAGUUGUAAUUUGCAGAGGGCGCUUUGGCAUAGGCAGCGAUUCAAGUUCCUUGGAACAGGACGUCACAGAGGGUGAGAAUCCCGUACGUGGUCGCUAGCUCUUGCCGUGUAAAGCCCCUUCGACGAGUCGAGUUGUUUGGGAAUGCAGCUCUAAAUGGGAGGUAAAUUUCUUCUAAAGCUAAAUAUUGGCCAGAGACCGAUAGCGCACAAGUAGAGUGAUCGAAAGAUGAAAAAAACUUUGGAAAGAGAGUUAAACAGCAUGUGAAAUUGUUGAAAGGGAAGCGCUUGCAGCCAGACUUGCCUGUAGUUGCUCAUCCGGGCUCUUGCCCGGUGCACUCUUCUGUAGGCAGGCCAGCAUCAGUUUGGGCGGUUGGAUAAAGGUCUCUGUCAUGUACCUCUCUUCGGGGAGGCCUUAUAGGGGAGGCGACAUACAACCAGCCUAGACUGAGGUCCGCGCAUUCGUGCUAGGAUGCUGGCGUAAUGGCUGUAAGCGGCC